rnacentral:tRNA from 1 species
CUCUAGGUGACUGAAAGAAAGUACUGGUCUCUUAAACCAUUUUAUAGUAAUUAACGCAUACUCCUAGGGG